rnacentral:rRNA from 1 species
UAAGACCGAAGUGCAGCCAAGCUGUCAUAAGCUCAAGAUGCCUCUAAGACCUCCAACAUGAUCUUAGCACCCUGAUUAACUUCAUCCCACGAAAGCUAAGGCACAAACUGGGAUUAGAUACCCCACUAUGCUUAGCCCUAAAUCUUGGCACUCUACUUUACCUACAAGUGCCCGCCCGAGAACUACGAGCACAAACGCUUAAAACUCUAAGGACUUGGCGGUGCCCCAAACCCACCUAGAGGAGCCUGUUCUAUAAUCGAUAAUCCACGUUACACCCGACCGCUCCUAGCCAAAUCAGCCUACAUACCGCCGUCGCCAGCUCACCUCUACUGAGAGCCCAACAGUGAGCAUAAUAGCCCAAACCCGCUAACAAGACAGGUCGAGGUAUAGCCCAUGGAGCGGAAGAAAUGGGCUACAUUUUCUAACAUAGAAUACCACGAAAGGAAGUGUGAAAUCACCCCCCAAAGGCGGAUUUAGCAGUAAAGCGGAACAAUAAAGUCCCCUUUAAGUUGGCCCUGGGACACGUACAUACCGCCCGUCACCCUCC